GAGUCAGGGCACUGUAGGACGCCACAGUGCUUCCCGAUGUUCCGCCAACAAAGCUGGGCCACAGCACUGGGCAAUCAGAGCCCAGCGCCCGCUAGGACUCACAUCAUGAGGGGCCUUAUGAGAAGUUAAAAAAAAAUACAUGUUUCUGUACAGCAGAAAUUGGCACAACAUCGUAAAUUAACUAUAUUUUAAUUAAAAAAUCAUAAAGAAGGGGGGAAAGACACCCAAUUAUUUCAAUAGAAAGAAUUUUUAAAAAAACUAUGCCCCUGUACCUAUGCUCGCUUUACAUUUUUUAUUUGGAAGGGCCAAGGGAAGAAAAUCAUGAAGUGUUUUCAUUUCUCUGCGAUUGAGCAAACUCUUAAAAUAUUAAACCAUCGCUUAAUAAUUGAUUAAAACUAAUCUCAGGGGGAGCCAAUCACCCAUUUGGCAGGAUCUCGCCAAACUUUUAGGGGCUUUUAACCCCCCACCCCGCCCCACCCCCGGCCGUCUAGCCUCUUCUCGCCUUAUUCUUUCAGGGCUCAGCAGCUGCUGUGCUCUGCUGCUUGUGUGGUCACGAUGUCACAGUGCCUCACCUGAGCUGUGGGAUGGCAGAGCGAGGCUGGAUUCAGAAAACCGGAGGUAGAGGGGGAGGCGGGAAGGAAGCCAGCGUGUCUGCAAUAAUGGCACCGUGGUUUCUAAGACACAGAAGGGCGUCAGAGGGGCAGCUGUGCGACCUUCAGAGCCACUGAGGUUGUCUUCGUGCAGGGGCUCUGCGGAAAGCAGGAGACGUCCUUGCUGGUGAAGAAUUGGUGACAUUGGGAAUUGGAGCUGCAGGCCCAAGUGGCCGGCUCAUCACACGCCGGGAGAAUGAAAUCACCCAGGUGAGAAAUGUUGGCCCUGGAAUUUCCAGCCUGUCAUUAGUCACAGACACUCACUGCCUUGCAGAGGCCUGGAGCCACACUUCCACCUGCGUAUCUAGGACCCGAACAGAGUGGCUCAUGACACACGGAAAUGAGGUUUCUUUCAAAUGGCAGCAUGCUGAGAAAUGAUUCAAGCCCCUUCUUGAGACUUCAGGUUGGGAGCUGGGCUUUCACCAGCCCCCUUAAUGGUUUUUAUGUGACUCACUGAAUUUUGACCCUGAAACGUCCUGUGGGUCACCUUCGUCAAGCUUCUCUUGACUCUGAUGUGGAGAGUGAGGCCAGAGGGCAGAGGCUCCGGCGAUGUCUGCCGGAGUGGCUGACGGGCCGGGCACAGAGUCCAGGACAUGGACCCCCAAAGGCCUCUUGGUUCUGGGGUCACCUUCGUAAAACAGUAGAGGGUGUGUUUUGCUAGGUGGUUUGGGGGAGUCCUGUUCUGAUGUAUUAGCUGGAAGAUUGGGUAGUUGCCUCCUUUACUCAGUACAGAUGCUUAUGGAGGGCUGGAAAUGGGUCAGUGGGGAGCAAGUGCCUCGUACCCUUGGGGCGAAUCCUGUCCAUAGCUCCACAUCUGGCUGAUUUUAAGUUAUCCUCAGGGUUCCCUGAUUUAAAAAAUGCAGAUCCUGAAACCCUGCCCUCCUCCUCCUCAUGAUGCGUAGCUCUGGAUGGGACCAGGCGUCUUUAUUUUAAAGUAUUUUCCCAGGUGACUCUGACAACCUGUCAAGUUCGGGGUUGAUGGGCUCCUUUCACCUUCGCUUAGACGAAGGAAGUGGAUUUCUCAGGGUGACUCACUUUCUAGGUGGGGAAUCGGAGUCUCACACAGAUGAAGUGCCUUUCCACAGGGCUACUUAGGAAAGAAUGGGCUUGAUGCU
rnacentral:lncRNA from 1 species